rnacentral:rRNA from 1 species
UUUGAAUGGUCGCAGUAUUUUGACUGUGCCAGGUUGCAUAAUCAUUAGUUUUUUAAUUGAAAGCUGGUAUGAAAGGUUUGAUGAGAAAAUGACUGUCUCUGUUUAAAUGUAUUAGAACUUCAAUUUUAAGUGAAAAAGCUUAAAUUUUUUAUAAAGACGAGAAGACCCUAUAGAGUUUUAUAUUUUGGUAUUUAUAAAGGUUAAGGAUUUUAUUUUUUUAUUAAUAUUCAAGUAUUUUGUUGGGGUGAUGGAAAAAUUUAAUUAACUUUUUUUUGUUUUUUACAUUUAUUUAUGAUUAUUUGAUCCUUAAAUUUGGAUUACAAGAUUAAAUUACCUUAGGGAUAACAGCGUAAUUUUUUUUGGAGAGUUCUUAUCGAUAAAAAAGUUUGCGACCUCGAUGUUGGAUUAAAAUUAAAUUUUGGUGUAGAAGCUAAAAUUUUAGGUCUGUUCGACCUUUGAAAUUUU